rnacentral:lncRNA from 1 species
UUGGAUCGCUGCAGGGCCCCGCGGGGGUGGGCCUUCGUCUCUGUGGAGUGGGUGGGGGUCAGAGUGGGGCGGCCGGGCCUGACAGGUGUGCCGGGCCGUGGAGCGUCUGGGGGGCGGGGAGCGCAGGACCCACCACCUUCAGCCUCCAGAGACAUCAGGUUCCACAGUCGGGCUGGCGCGGGAAUCACCCCACUUCCCCCAGGGAGCCACCGGGUCAGGGGCUGCCCCAGCCCCCAGCUCUGGGUGGGAGGGCUGUGGCUUCCCCCUCCCCCCAGGUCCCGGGGUUGGACCCCAAGGCCCCGGGGCUCGGGGCAACACAGGAGCCCGAGUGGCCGCAGUGGAGGAGCACACGAGUGGCCGGGGCGACUCUCCAGUGCACGCCGUUGGCCCUUCACAGGGAUCCAGGGAGUCUCCCAGGGCACGCUCCGGCUCCUCCCCACCCCCAACCCCGGGCUCCUGGGGUCCCUGCUGUGUGAGGCCGCGGUGGGGGCACAGGGCCCGGCCCCCGAGCCAGAGCGGCCCCCACGAGAGGCCCAGCAGGUGGAUGCCAGGGUGUUUACCCGGUGGCUGGCUUUAAGUCUCCCUUCCUCGGGGACGGGGCGGGGGUCACCGCCCUCUGCUCAGGCCAAAAACAGAAUGCAGAGCAGACUGCCCUGGGGCCCGGGUGUGCCGUGCGCCAGGUGGAGAGCCCGUGGGCCCAGAAGUCAGCCAGAGAAGCUGCCACCUGUGGGGCCCAGUCGGGGCUUCCUGCCAGGUUCUGAGUUCCGUCCGACCGACCCCGCCCCCUCCGCUGCGGGCUCUGCCUUGGGCUCCUCCAGGCGUUUCCCAGGGCGCCCUGCGUGGCGGGCGCUUCCCCGAAUCGUGGCGACCCUGUGCCCUAGUCUCCGGGUCUCAGACUCUGACCUGCCGCUGGUCGGCCUCGCUGAGGUGUGUGUGGACACCUCGAUCCCACUUAGACCCAGUGAAAAGCGCCCUUCGUUGGACGGCAGCUCCCAGGAGGAUCAUCGUGUGUGCACCCCCGCCCCCACUCUGUUCCAGUCUGUCGAGGGGCCUUACCCUGCCCUCCUCUGCCCUCCUGGGGCUUCCAGCUGGACUGACUGA